AUAGUUGGAAAAUAGGAUGACAUUACAAAGUUUUAUACUAAGACCAAAUUACAACAUAGCUUCUCUUGAGACUAAUGGUUGCCCUAUUCUUGUUUCUAUAUAGAUAUAUAUAUAUAUAUAUGUAAGCUAUUAGGUUAGCCCUCCAUACUCUUCCUAUGCAUCUCAAGCGUUAUUAUUAUCACAUAAUACAUUUGAGUGAAUGGUUUGUGCAAAUGCCAUGUUGGUUGUGAGCAUACAUAUACAUUUAUAUACAUACUCUUGACACUAGUUCUGUGAGCAGAAUGCAACAUCUCAUGUAGGUGUGCCAUUUACCCCUCUAAAAUAGGUUUAGUUGCCCUUCCCAGCCACAAGAUACCAUGAGCAUGGCUUUUUACUCUGUUGCAACUGGGUGCUGCGUGGGCUUCCAACAGUGCAGCCCGCUGACCACGAGAUGGGCCAUGACGACCACUGUGGUAUCAGAGAAAUGUGACAUUCAUCUGGUUUUGGAGGCAGCAAAAUCUGUUUCCGUGGUUGGCAGUAGCGGCCAACAGCGGUCAGCUCGAUGGGAAUUCCAUCUCGCUAUCUCAGUGGAGAUAUCUCGGCUUAUCCAAUCCGGUGAUCGUAUAAGUGCCCCGAGCAUGCUUUUGCGCUGGGCGAAGUCGCUAUGAGGACCUCCUCCGAGCUGGUUCCUUCGUGCAAAAUCAGCCCAUUAUCGCCAAUUCAUCGCUUCACUCCAUUCUGUUAGAGACCAUCUGUUCGGUAACAGUGCCACGCGUAAGCGUUUACCUACAGCCCCACCUCACAUCGCUAAAGAAUAUCUAAUGUGCCGAUGUGAAAUUAGCCCUCAUCGAUACUCAUAGAUGCGACUUAGGAUAUGACAAGCAAUCAUACUGUUUCAAAUCCUGAUUUUGACCGCAUAAACUUUUCAUGCCGAUUCUCGAUGCGCUUCACCAGUCACUUCCAAUCACGGACCAUCACCGCCAACUUUAUUGUGCGAUGUACACACCGCAUACCACCAGUUCAUCGCCCACACCCACCCUCACAUGCACAGUUUCGGCUCUCACCGUCUUUCACUCCACGAAACCACUCCCCAUCACCUCAUUCUGCUAUUCACGCCUCCCCCGCAGAAUACAAACAUCGCAAACACGACCAUCGCCCGUUCAACCACGCCCCCAUCACAUCGAUCCCGCAAGACAUGGCGCUACUUCCCAUACCGGCCGAAACCAACACACACCCGUCUGCGUACGGAACCGUUCCAUGCCCACAUCCACACCCGCCUCCCCGACCCUCCGCCCAGUUCCAAUUCCCAAUUACAAUAACACAUCCACAAUUUACUCAUUCACACUCUCCCAAUUUACAACUGUGCGAACGCCGCCAACCCGACUGGUGGCUCCGUCUAGGUGACAGACUCUCGCAGCUCACAGAAAAUUAAAUCGGCUCUACCGCGCCAUCCUAGUUCCCGGGGGUGAAGUUGGUGGCGUACGCCCAUGCGUUGUUGGCCACCGGGUCGGCCAAGUGGUCGUUCAAGUUCUCCAAUGGCCCCUUUCCGGUCACGAUCGCCUGCACGAAGAACCCGAACAUCGAGAACAUCGCCAAUCGCCCGUUCUUGAUCUCCUUCACCUUCAGCUCCGCGAAGGUGUCGGGGUCGUCAGCCAAACCCAAGGGGUCGAACGACCCUCCCGGGUAGAUGGGGUCUGUCACCUCGCCCAGGGGUCCUCCCGCAACACGGUAGCCCUCCACGGCUCCCAUCAGCACCACCUGGCAUGCCCAGAUCGCCAAAAUGCUCUGGGCGUGCACCAGGCUCGGGUUGCCCAGGUAGUCCAACCCGCCCUCGCUGAAAAUCUGCGCUCCGGCCUUGAACCACACCGCCUCGCCGAACUUCACGCCGCUCUUCGCCAACAGCUCCGGGGUCAGGCACCCCAAAGCCCCCAGCAUGGCCCACCGGGCGUGGAUCACCUCCAGCUCCCUGUUGCGGGCGAACGUCUCCGGGUCGGACGACAGUCCGGCGGUGUCCCACCCGUAGUCUCCAGCGAACUCGCCGGUCAGGUACGACGGAGUCUCGCCGGAGAAGGGGCCCAAGAACUUGGGUCGGUCAGCUCCGUACCUGAGCAACAGUCCGACGUUCGGCUUAGGCAUACGUUCCUCUCUAUCCCUCACCAGUGUCACCUCAGCAAUGCACACCCUCGCCAUAGCAGCUCUGACCCCAACAUUUGUCACACUUCCAAUGCCCCACCGCCGAUGCCAACCUCCAUCUCUCACCUCUCACCUCUCAAGCUGCUCCGCGCGUGGACAACCAAACCGACCACACGCCCCGGCCGGAUGCCAUUCCGAUUUCCAAAUUCAAGGCCUCCACUGCUUCAUGGCCUCCGCCCCACAAUCCCCAAUCCCCAAUCCACAACACACUCCGCUCAACCCCAAUCCCCAACACACUCCGCUCAACCCCAAUCCCAAUCGCGCUCCCAACACAACCAUCAAGCACUCAAAACUGUCAUCCCAGAGUUCGUCAAGUGGGGACCAUACCAGAUGCUGUCGCUGCCAGCGGACUUGCUCACGGUCCGCCGCAUCGUGACGCGGGCCUCCACAUUGCCCACCUUGCGGGACAGCUCGUUCACGGGCUUGAGCACACCCUGCCCAGCCAAGGCUGUCGAGUGCAUCGCGGUAGCUCCUGCCAUGUCUGCACACACGUUCCCGAACGGAGGGUCUCCAACAGAAUGGAGUGAAGCGAUGAAGUGGCGAUACCGGGCCGACUGUGCACAGAGGACCCUGCUCGGAGGAGGGCCUUAUAGCGACUUCGCCCAGCGCAAAAUCAUGCUCGGGGCACUUCUACGGUCACCGGAUUGGAUAAGCCGAGAUAUCUCCACUGAGAUAGCGAGAUGGAAUUCCCAUCGAGCUGACCGCUGCUGGCCGCUGCUGCCAACCACGGAAACGGAUUCCGCUGCCUCCAAAACCAGAUGAAUGUCACAUUCCUCUGGCACCACUGUGGUCGUCAUGGCCCAUCUCGUGGUCAGCGGGCUGCACUGUUGGAAGCCCGCGCAGCACCCAGUUGCAACAGAGUAAAAAGCCAUACUCAUUGUUCAGAAUGUUAAGAUAGACAAACAAAAGUAAUAGUAAGUCAUACACACACACAAGAGUAGUAGUAAGUCAUACACAGAAGAGGGUUUCUAAGGAGAAAGAGCUUCUUAUACAGAAAUCUGUUGAUCUGGUUGUGCCUCGUAUACAAGAAGAGAAAAAGGGGAGAGGAUAAACAAUAGUUCUCCACUAGACUCUAAAUAUUGUAGCUAUAGUAUUUACUAUAUUCUACAAUAAAUAUCAUGAAGAGAGCUGGAUAUAUUUAAUGAUCUCAACACUCCUCCUCUCUUAUCAUAAUAUUUACAUAAAAUAAAAUUUGUAUAGAAUUAUGAUCUAUACUUUUCUUUGAUCGUACAAGAUCAAUAAUUGUUGCCUCAUUAAAACCCUAUCUAGGAAAACCUUAUUUUAUUUAAGAACAAAACCAUAGAUGAAGGAAAAAGAGUACAACAUCAUUUUCUUUAAUUAUUUAAAGAGCUCAUUAACUUUCUUAUUCAAGAAGAGCAAGUCGUCGCAUACCAAUGCCAUAAGUAAGUCGACGAUGGUUGCUUAAUGGGAUAGCUUUGGUGAAGAAAUCAGCAAGGUUAUUUGUAGAUUCAAUUUUUAUAAUUAUAAGUGCUUAAUCAGUAAUCAAGUCAUGGGUAUAACUAAAAUACUUUGGAUCAAUAUGCUUUGUUCUAUCGCCUUUAAUGAAACCAACUUGCAUUUAUGCAAUAGAAGCACUAUUAUAUUCAUGCAAGAUAGUUGGAGAAUCAUCAUAUGAAAAUCCACAGGUUGUUUGAAUGAAUUUAUCUAUUAAUUGCAACCAAAUACAUUCUAGAGAUGCUUCAUGUAAGGUGAUAAUUUCUGCAUGGUUGGAUGAAGUUACAGUUAUUGUUUGUUUCACUGAUUUUCAUGAUAUUGCAGCUCCAUGUCUUAAGAAUACAUAUCCUAUUUGAGAUUUAGCUGUUGCAAUAUCAGAUUUAUAUCCUGCAUCAUAAUAUCCAACCAAUUUUGGAUCUACGAAUUGUGUGUAAUAUAAUCCCAAGUCUUCAAUACCUUUUAAAUAACGUAAUAAAUGUUUGAUGCCAUUCCAAUGUUGUAGUAUUGGACGUGCACUAUGUCUUGCAAGAAUACUAAUUGCAAAUGCAAUAUCUGAUCUUGUAGAUGUAGCUAAAUACAAAAGUGCUCCAACUGUUGUGAGGUAUGGAUAUUGGUCUCUCAAUAUUUCCUCCUCCUCCUCGCAUGGACGGUAUGGAUCAUGACCAUCACGACUACAUCCAACCAUUGGUGUGGACAAUGGAUAAGCAUCAAUCAUAUUAAAUCUUUGCAAGAUUCAUCUAAUAUACGUUAGUUGGUGAAGAAAAAUGCUACCAUCUGUUAGAUGCAUAAUUUGAAGACCAAUGCAGAAAGUUGUUUUUUCUAGCAUUUUCAUCUCAAAUUCAAAUAUAAGUAGGUUUGUAGUUGUAACACAUGCAGAUGUAGUACCUACUAGGUUAAAAUCAUCAACAUAUACAGCGAUGAUUACAAAACCAGUUUUAUCUCGUUUGAUAAACAAACAAGGGAGUAGUGGAUAACUUAUAAAAUUAUUUGUAAUUAAAUAAUCUUGAAGAAAUUGAUAUCACAUGUGUCCGAAUUGUUUUAAACUAUACAAGGCCUUACAUGAUUUAAUACCAUGAUAUUUUCUUAGAACGGUGUCGUACUGUAAAUGCUUACAGUAUGUAAAAAUUAGUUAAAACAUAUUAUAUGUUGAUAAAUCUAGAUGUGUGUUAGAGUGGCUAGUAGAUUAAAUUAAAAAGAGUUGGUAUAAGAAACUUUACUUUGUUUCUUUAUUUCUUUUGAUUUUGACAUUAAAUAUAUAUAUAUAUAUAUAUAGGACCUAAAUGUUUAGUAUGAAGCCUUGGGAGAAGGUAGAAGCCUAAAUAUGAAGAUUUAAACUAAUAGGAGGUUAAUUGGGAGGGAUGAAACCAAGGCAUGGUUGGAUGAAGGUAGAAAUAAGGAUCUUCAUCCCCAUUGGUCAAAAUCCAUGCCCAAUGGGCUUUUAGGAGGCUGCCAGCGACCUUGAUAAGGGUUUCGGCGACUUCAAAGAGGCCAUUAGGAAAUCAGAGGCAAGGGUUGUGAAGUUUAGGGUUUUGGCUACAAUUUUUGUGCAAAUUUUAUAGGGUUUGGAGUUAGGGUGAAUAAGUUAUAGCCGUUUGAAGUUAAGGUGUUAAUUUGAGACUUACUAUUACUCUUUUGAGUUUAAGAGGAGUUUUACGGAAGCUUUUGGAGUUCGGAAGGUGCGGCUGGAAGGGCAACUUCAAGACAUACAUCUUUUGUGAAGGAAAUUUUGCAUUUGGAGUUUAUGUGAAGGAGUUAUAGGGAGUUAAAAACAACGCAUUCAAAUCAAAGGCAGUAAGUGAGUGGUUUUGUUCAAAGUAAUGUUAGGAGCCAUAACUUAAGUUUUCGAACGAAAUUUUGGCUCAAACUUUGGGAGAAUGUAAAAAUUUGUGUUAAGAAGCUAUUUAUACAAGUUUUGUGGCAUUUAGACUUAUGAUUUGUGAGAUAUGAAGAAAAUUGCGCGCAGGUAUAUAAAGAUUAGGGUUUGAAGUGACUGUUAGGGUUUUGAAGAUAUCUCAAGAUCCGCAACGAAUUUGCGGUUGAAAUUUGUUGUACAAAUUAUUAACAACAUAUCAGUACUUCAUGUAAAUUUUGAUCUUGUUUGGACGGUUGGAUCAAGAGUUAUGAGGUGUUGAGGUUCGGAAGAAUUUCCACACAAGGAUAUACAAGGUUUUAGAGUACUUCUACCAUAUUUUGGAUGUUGUUGGUUAUUUAAGACUUAAGUAUUUGGUGUAAUUUACCCCAAAGGAGAACUUAUAUAUAUAAAAUUAGAUUUUUCUUAUUUUUAGCUUGAUUGAGCAAUUAGUGACAACCAGAAGCCUAGCGCUUUCUUGAGGCAAAACCUCUCUACCCCGACAGCGAGUCGAUUUGAAGUUCCUAUUUCUAAGCCAGGUUGAACUCUUAUAUAAAUAUUUGCAUCAAGAGAACCAUAUAGAUAUGCAGUUACUACAUCCAUCAAAUGCAUCUCAAGGGUGUCAUGAACUGUCAUUCCAUAAAUAUAUCAAAAUGUAAUUGAAUCCAUGACUAGAGAAUAUGUGGAUUCAUAAUGAAUGCUAAAUCAUUGAGUAAAUCCUUGAGCAACAAGACAAGCUUUAUAAUGGGUUAUUUGGCCUUGAGCAUCUUACUUACAUAUUAAUACUAUUUUAUAUCCUACAAGGCAAGAUGUAAGAGUGUCUAUAAUUGGACCAAAGACUUUCUUCUUAUGCAAAGAGGCAUACUCCUCUUCAAUAGCAGUUUUCCAUUUUGACCAAUCUGAGCGACGCAUCGCCUCUUCGAUGGUUUGAGGUUCAAGAUCGUCUUCUUUGUAAGAAAGGGCUUCUAUAAUUAUAUAUGUAAAUGAUUUUUCUACUAUAAUAGAUUGUAUGUCCCAAAUAUCAUAUGGAAUACAAUACAAAAUAGAUAAUUCUUUACUCAACUUAUUCUUAUUCCUUCCAAUUCCAAGAUUAUUUUUCAUAGGAAUUGAAGGUACAUUAUGCAUAGAUAUAUCAUCAUGAAUUAUUAGUCUUACAAGAUGUGUAGAAAUUUCUUAAGAAAUAAGACCAUGAUUAGUCAAUUUUAUAGCUUUCUUCUUUUGUGGUUGUUUAUCUGGUCCACGAGUUCUUUUAGUUGUUGUUGUUAUAACUUGAAGUAUUGUAGUCAAUGGCACUGCAAUCUGAGCAGGUGCAUUCUGAGCCUCAUUAAUAGGAACUCUUGUAAUUCUAGAUGCAUCAUUGAAGCCAUUAGGUGUUUCAUCUACGAUCCAUUUUAGAUUCAAAAUCUUAGCAACUUCAAUUUCUGCCAAAGAUGUCUUAGGAUCAAGAUUCAUUGUAAACAUUUUUGGUGCUUCAAAUAUGAGUACUUUAUUUCUUUGUUGAUUAAAUACUCAUCCUUGAAAAGAUGGAAAUAUAUUUUCUUCAAAACAACAAUUUUGUAAAUAUGCUCAUAAUAAUGUGUCAAUUGAUGGAUCAACAAUACGAAUAAUGCUUGGUGAAUCAAAACCAACAUAUAUGCCUUCUUGUCGAUGAGCUCCAACGGUAUGCCAUUGAGGUUUUGGUACUCGAAUCCAAACACGGCAACCAAAUACUUGUAAGUGAGAUACAUUUGGAACAUGACCUGAAAUAAGCUCAUGUGGUAAAAUAAUUUCAAGGGAAGAAAGGCGGAGGCGUUGUCGUGUUGUAACACGUCUAUAUGAUGAAAAUAUAAAUGAAGAAGACUUAUUAAUAUUUAGUCACCUUGGAUGUUAGAAGCGGUGGCCAAUUCCAGUGCAAAUACUAAGAGGCCAGGUUCAGUCAUCCUGUUACAGUCAGUCGGGGCAUACUCAUCAGUAAUAAAAUGUUUCGUUCGAUUCCAAUAACUGGAGUCAGUAGAAAGGGAAAGGACCAAUUCAACGAUAGGUGAGCCUGGUUCGAAGAGCCAAUUGGAUCCAAUUUUAGAAGACCUUGAAUCUAAGUCCUAUUAUGGACCUCUUAUCCAAUAUGAGACUUAACUUGGUCGGGCAAUCUAAUGUGGUCUGAUUAUGGACUUCGAUUUCGUUUCAGGUUGUUCCGAUUCUUUGUACCGUUUCGGUAACGUCUUCUUGGUAAAAAGUUCUCUUUAAGGCAAAAAUGGGGGGGAGAAAGCUCCGUCGGUUGUUCCAAUUCAGAAAAUCUAAGGCGAAAGAAUAGGAUCUUCUUAUGGUUAAAGGAGAGGAUAGGUUAAGAAAUGAGGAGGGGAGAAUUAGGAUUUUAAGGAUCAGAGAGCUAGCUUCACGCUCAAAAAGACAAAGAGUUGGGGGUUUUUUUUCUUCAUAGGGUUUUGGGAAGGCUGAGGUAAUCAUUGCUGAAAGUCAGUGAUAUAUUGGUGAACUGGAUUUUCCGUAAGAGAGAAAAAGGCUGGUACUCUUGAUUGUUGUUGGAAUGAGAGAUACUUCUAUGGUUGAAAUUUAGAGUUAUCUAGAAGGUUGAGUAUCCUGAAUGCAUGCGUGGUUGUGUUAAUCUGACUGUACGGAUAAAGGAUAUCUGCCAACAAUUUAAAGAGGUUUUAGGAGGUGGCAAAUUGGGGUUUGUUAGGGUUUCUAUGAUAACUGGAGACCUACCGACAGGGAUAAGAAGAAUAGCGGCGAGCGGCCAAGGGACAUCGGUGCGGAUUACAGCAUAGCCUCACAAUCUGUAAGCGGGGUUGAAUUGGAACUUCUUGAGCAUUCGAAAGGGCUUGCAGAGACACUAGCGAUAGAUGUUUCACAACAAGUCGGAAGGGCAGAUUGAGGAUCACAGCUUGCCGAAGUUCACGGUCUAGGAUUAAGGUAAUUAAUGAUAAAGAUAAAAUAAAAAACAUAAAAUAAAUAAAAUAAAAUAAAAAUAACAAAAGAGAUUGAAGUUAUAUAGGAUCUUUAGGCGUUUUAUAUUAGAAUUAAGCUUUUACAUUGCAAUCCUACGAUAUUGGAGAUAAGAGACCAUAUUAUAUCGAUUACGGAUCGUUAUGGAAAUUCAUGGGAGGUUUUUUUAUAUGCAUUGAAAGAUGAAUAUUUCUUAGAAGAUGUUGAUCACGUUACUAAGAAGCUGUUUUCGGAAUGGAUUGAACGGCCUAACAAGAAUUUACAAGCAACGGAGCUACUAAGGGAAUUUGAGAGGCAGUACUCUCAAUUAUCGAAGGUAGAAAAAUUGACGUUGGAGCUGAACAAAGUUGAUCUAUUUCUUCAAGCUGCUGAUGGAGGAUUGCAAGGGAAAUUAGAACUCGUUCUUGAAGACAAAGAAGAAGAUGAAGGAUUGACAACAAAGUAGAAGAACGUUGAAGAUGCAGUGGGGAUGCUUACAAAAAGAAAAAAGAGGAAGGAUAGGAGUAAUAUUCCGAAAACAGUACAAGCACCUAAAGCUCUAGUACGUACAACACCACCAACAAUGCCUACAGUUCAACCUUCGACAUCUUUAUCAAAGAAAGCAGAUAUGGAGAUGGAAGAAAUUAUAUGAGGAAUGCGAGAUCUUCAAAUCAAAUUGGCAAGACUUGAAGAGAAUAUUUCUAUAAAUAAUUCGAAGAAUGUUUCAAAACAAGGAUAUGUACAAAGAUGCAUUUGGUGUGAUGAUGCUUCACACACUAGGAAAGAUUGCAAUGAAUUUAAUAAUAUGAUAUGGCAAGGAAUUAUUUGUUGGAAAGAUGGGAAGAUAGUAUUAAAAAAUAGGGAGGAUCUUCUUCAAACCAAUUUUGGCAAGGGAGGAAUGAGAGCAUUGGUUCAAGAUUACUUAAAAGAGCAUGAAACAGCAGCACGAGAAAGUGCAAGUUAUGGUGCUAGAGUAGAUGAUGACCUUGGUGGAAGUACGGAAGCUAGUGAAUUUUGGGCUCCUGCUAUUUCUACAAUGCAAGAAGGAAAAUUACCUCGAGAAGCGUUAUUGAGGACUGCAGCUACAAUACGAGGUGCAACAAGUUGGGAGGAUCCUGUUGAAUGUCUUUCAGUUCAUGCAUAUAUUGCUAAGAGCCAACAUGAAGCUUUGAUGGAAGAAAAGAGACGAGGAAAUUUUGAUGAUACGAGAGAGGGAAAUUCUUCUAAGAGGCAAACUCGAGGAGAUAAGGCUCGAGAGGCAGCUUCACAAAAAUUGCCUAUAAAGUAUACCUCAGCAUCAUUGGAAGAAAAAACAAGGGAGACAAAAGAUAAGGGCAAAUCAAUUUCUUAUAAGCUACUUUCUGACAUUGAAGCGGCAACAAAUUUGAAAGGGAUGUUAGAAGAACGUAUAUUAAAUGCUAAGGUGGAAUUCACAUUGAAAGAAGUUUUGAGAAUUGCAAAGAAAGAAUUUCAUGAUGUUAUCAUUGACAGCAUUAAGCAAAAGAGGCAAUUAAUGGGCGAAACUGGAAUGAGUCAUGCUAUUGAUGCAAGAAUAUGUAGAGAUGAAGAAGAGGUUGAUAUUGGUUACAAGCAACCAACAAAUGAAAAGAAUGGGUAUAAUCAACGAGUAUGUUUCGAAGAUUAUAGUGAUAAGGAAAUGGACACUUUGAGCCAUUAUACUCGAAAGCAUUGGGCAAGGACAACUACUGAGGUAUUAGUGAAAGUAGGACAUAUAGAAGAACCAAUCGUUGCAUUAGUCGACCAUGGUUCUGAAAUAAAUCUCAUGUCUAAAGAUCUUUAUAAGAAGCAAAAAUGGCCAAUUAAUAUGGAACAUGGAUGGGCAAUAUGAGCAGCUAAUAACACACGGGGCGAAUUAUAUGGAGCUUGUCUAGAUGUCAAAAUUCGGAUUGGGGAUGUUGCGACGGAGCAACAUUUCUUUGUUCAAGAUACAACAUCUUAUCCGUUGAUUUUAGGACAACCUUAUAUUAUAGCAAUAUGGAUGGAAACAAAAGUACUUGACGAUGGUUCUGCUUAUGCAAGAAUAUGUAGUGAAGAUGAGAAAAGCUGUACAAUUUCUAAUAGCACCUCCUAACUAUGAACGAAAUCAAGAUAGGUUGAGGGAGAAACCAUUGCCAAAGAUUGUUGAAGGAUAUAAGGAUUUUGGAGAGAUACCUUUGUAAAGCGAGAUUAUGGAGGUACAAAAGAAGAGGUACUCUCACGAGAUGAAGGUGUCUUUGAUGCGAGUUUUAUUGGUAUUUUUGGAGAAUAGAAAUAUUAUGUAUAAGAAAUUUAAUGAUUUUAAAAAAAUAGAAAAAAAGGAGAUUAUAUAAUAUUGAAGGAGAAUUACACAAGUUAGGUACAUUGCAAGAUGAUGAGAGGAUUUUAGGUGUUUAUGAAGAAAAUGGACUGGAAGAUUCAUUGGAAUUGAUUACAUCUAUUGGGUUAGGGGAUAAUGAUAAGAUUGUUGAGAUUCAUUCAAUAGAGGUUUAUACCAUACUUGAAUCUUUUCAAGCACCAGAAGUCACUGUAGAGACGAGAUAUAAAACGGCAGAUAAGAAGGUAAAGCCUGUUGUUGGACCAUUAUCAGAAGAUUCUAAGGAACAAAUGGGAGAAGCAUCAAAAGAAGCAUGUUUAAGAGAUCCAAUGAGUAUUGGACAUUAGUUUACCAAAGAGACUUUUGAAGAAUUGAAGAUUGGUUCUGAUGGUUCUUUACUGCCGGAGGAAAUUACUAGCUUCAAAAAGAUGUUGGCUAAACAAGGUAGAUCAUUUGCCUUCAAAUUUUAUGAAAUUAGGUGUGUGGAUCCAAAUAUUAUAAUACCUAUGGUUAUCUUCAUUGUAAAUAAAGAUGAAAAUAUUAGAACCUUCAUUUGCGCCAUAUUCUAGUCGAUGGUUUACGAUACCUAAGAAGAAUGGGUCACUACGGUUCAUUCAAGAUAUGCAACCGAUGAAUGUAGUAACUGUCAGGAAUGCAGGAAUUGGACCUAUUGUGGAUGAAUUGGCUGAGGCAUUUGCAGGAAGGGUGAUCUAUUCAAUAGGUGACUUGUAUUGAGGUUAUGAUCAAUUUCAACUUAUCGAAGGAAGUAGAGAUAUGACAACGAUGAGGACACCACUUAGAUUGAUUAGAAUGUGUACUCUUCCUCAAGGCGCGUCCAACUCAAUUGUGCAUAUGAUGAAUGGGAUGAAUAAGGUAUUGAGAGAUUUUAUUCCGAAGAAGAUUAUACCUUUUUUAGAUGAUGUUCCUAUAAAAAGGUGUAGAGAAGGAGACAAGGAUGAAACUUUAGAUAAGAAGGGGUGUCGCAAAUAUGUUGUUGAUCAUAUACAAGAUUGUGAAAAGAUUUUAACUCGGCUUGGAGAAGUUCAUCUUACAUUAUCGGAUAUGAAGUCCGUAUUUGGAGUACAUGAGGUUGUGAUUGUUGGACAUUUAUGUGGAUCUUACGGAAGAAAAUCAGAUCUGACUAAAGUUGAUGUAAUUGGAAAGAUGAAAGAGGAUUGUGAAUCUUUACUAGAGGUUCACAGGUUUUUAGGUGCAUGUGUAUUUUAUCAAAUCUGGAGCCCUCAUUAUGCUCACAUAGCGGAUCCAUUAUAUGAACUGUUAUGCAAGGGCUACCGAUUUAAAUGGAAAAAAAGGCAUAUUUAGGCAAUGCAAAGAUUAAAGAAAUUAUUGAUGUCACCUCCAAUAUUGAGGAAGGUUGAUUAUAAGUGCAAUAGACUAGUGAUUCUUAUUGUGGACACUAGUCGAACUGCCACUGGAUGGGUUGUGGAUCAAGAUGAUUCAAGUGAAAAUAGAUUUGCAAUUCGAUUUGGAGCUAAAGUUUUAAGUAUUCGUCAGCAUGCAUAUUCGCAAGUCAAACGAGAACUUUGGGGAGUUGUUUCGGCUAUGAAAGCUGAAAAGGACUAUUUGAUUGGAGUAGUAGUAGUAAUUGAAACAGAUUGCUUGCCAUUGCUUGGAAUGAUUACUAACUGUUCAAUGCCAGAUAUUGCAAUGUUGAGAUGGAUUGCUUAUAUUAAGUCACUAAAUCUGGAAUUUAAGCAUGUUAUUGGGAAAGACAAUUUAAUAGCAGACAUGCUAUCUCGAGUAAGAUACGAGAGGAAGGAUGAAAUGGUUGAAGACAUUGAUGACGUCAGAUUGAAAUUCUAUUCAAUAUGAAAUCUCAACAAAGAAGACAAGCUAUUUCUUGAAGAAUCUUAUGAAGGAGAAUUAUUGGAUAUUGGUCAUUACUUGAAUACCUUGAUUAAGCAGGAGAAUUGGUUUACAAAAAAAUUCAAACAAAUAAGAAAAAAAGCAUAUGGAUUUUUGCUUCAAGAUGGAUUCUUAUGGAAGAGACCGAAGAAAGAAGUUGAGAUGCCACAAUGAGUAAUAGGCAAAAAAGAAGAAAAACUAAAAUUAUUAAAGGAGUUUUAUGAUAGUUUAUGGGUAGGGCAUAGAGGAAUCUGGGCUACUUUUGCUAAACUCAAGGAACGAUAUUAGUGGAAAAAUAUGUAUCAAGAUGUGCUCUCAUUUGUAGAGUCAUGUAAAAUCUCUCAAUCGUAUUCUAAUAUCCGACAUCAAGAUGGUCUUCAUCCUACGUAUCCUCUGGCUAUUCAUUUUAAAUGGAUUGUUGAUUUGGUUAUUAUGCCAGUUGGAUUAUGGUAGAUGAGAUAUUUAGUCUUAGCUCGUGAAGAUUUAUCAAAUCAAGUAGAAGGAAGAGCAUUGAGGACAAAAUCUAUAAAAGGGAUUUGUAGGUUUUUGCUUGAAGAUGUCAUUUGCUGCUACGGAUGUAUAGGAAAAAUCAUUGCAGAUCGUAGAGAAUUAAAUGCACAAGAAGCUCGUAAGUUCUUUGAAAGAUGUGGAGUUAAACUAUCAUUGACUAUUGCUUAUAAUCUGGAAGGGAAUGUAAAAAGUGAACGUGGUCACCGACCGAUUGUGAAAGCAUUAGUUAAAGCUUGUAAUGAGAAAGUUAGAAAGUGGCCACGGCUUUUGUCAUUUGCAUUAUGGGCUGAUCGAACACCACAUAGUUUGGUGACAAGAUAUAUGCCAGUAGAACUUAUGACACGUCGAAAACCAAUUAUGUCGAUUGAAGAAAGGAUACUUACUUGGAGUAUGCUACCAUGGGAAGAUGGAUUGACAAGAGAAGAACUUCUAGCUAUUAGGAUUCGACAAUUGGAGCAAAGAUCGGAAGAUGUGCAGAUAGCAUUGGAAAGGUUAAAAAGAACAAGGUUAUAAAAUAGGCGCGAUUCGAUAAGCAACAUUGAUUGAGACCUAAAGCAAUUGAAGAAGGUGAUGAGGUACUUAUUUAUGAUAGUAGUCUAGACAACCAAUAUAGCAUUUUAUGGAAGUUUUUGAAACGUUGGUUUGGACUGUAAGUGGUAACAACUGUUCAUGAUAAUGCGACUUACUCAUUGCGGGAGUUCGAUGGCACAAGGUUAAAAAUACCAAUUGCAGGGAAGAGAGUGAAAUUAUUUAAACAAAGAUAUGUAGAAAUAAAUUUAGAAGACCUUAAUGAAGAUAUAGUUAUUCCGCAGUGGGAAGAUGAAAUUGAUUUGGAUAAUGAAGAUCACGUAGAUGAACUGGACAAAGACGUAGAGAAUAUAUUAUACAUCAAACAGCAAUUGGUUAAAUUGGUGCAUACCGGAGGAUGCACAGGUUUAGAGGGGGUGGAUGUCAUGUUAUAACACGAGUAUACCAUGAAAAUUUAAAGAAAGGGGACUUUUAUUAAUUUUCAGUUACCUCGAAUAUUGGGAGCAACGACCGAUUCCAGUACCAAUAUUUAGGGGCCAGUUCACACAUUCUGUCAUAGUCGGUCAGGGCAUACUUACCUGUAACAAAAUUCUCGAUUCGAGUCCAAUAGUGGGAGUCAACAGAAUCGAAAGGAAUAAAUUGAUGACUGAGCGAGCCUGAUGCAAAGGACCAAUUUGAUCCAAUUACAGGAACAUCUAGAUCUUACUAUAGGCCUCUUAGCCAAUAUGAGACCUAAAUUGGUCAGGCGACUCAAUGUAGUCCCGAUUACGGGGGUUUCGAUUCCAUUUCAGGCUGUCCUGUUCUCUGUGCCAUUUCAGGGAAUAUUGUUUCCAAAAAAGAAUCUUUUAAAAGGCAUAAAAAGGAGGAGAAAGCUCUGAUGGUGGAGCCAAUUUUGAAUCUAAGAUGGAAGAUUGAAGAAAUUCAGAGGCUAGGGUUUGAAAGAGGGAAGAAUUAAGGUUUUAAGGUCGGAGAGCUAGCUUCAUGCUUCGGAGGAGAAAAAAGACAGAGAGUUUGGGGAUUUUUUUCUUCAUAGGGUUUAGAAAAGACGGAGGCAAUCGUUGUUGAAAGUCAGUGUUGUAUUGGUGAAUCAAGUUUUUAAUGAAGUGGGUGUGAUUACUCUUGACUGUUUUGUCAAAUUGAAGUUACGUUUGUGAUUGAAGAGUUAAAAGAGUGUCUAUAGGAUUGAAUAUGCGGAUUGAAGGAAAAUUUUUGGAUUAAUCUAACAAAACAGUCAGUGGAUACAAGAUCGUGAGUAUAAAGUGGUAUCGGAGAUUAGUGUAUUGGACUAAAUGGGGUUUUUUGUAACGUCUAGAGACUUACAGGCUAGGGCAAAAAGAAUUUCGGCGAGCAGUCGAAGGACAUCCAUAUAGAUUAACGAUAUCUUCUUGCAGUCAUUUAUAUUUCAACAGUCAAAAAUCGAUAGACUUCUUGAAUAUUAGCGAAUCUCCAUACUACCUUCUACACCCAGAUGCUCGGCGCGUUCUGUAGUAAGAAAGCAUGUAAUAUGACAGUGCCGUUAUCGUAUGGCGUGAUUUACUAUCUGGGAAUACACUGGGUAUCUAGCUGUAGAGAGUGUACCUUAAACCUUUAUAUGAUUCUUUUCUUGGCUUCCAAAACUCUUUUAUUUUUGUAUAAAACUCCAAAUAUAACAAAAUCACUUCAAAACAUAUUUUUCCCGCGAAGGGUUUUCUCGCCCCGAACUUUAGAAAAUCAUAACUAUUGAUCUAACCGUUCAGUUUGUUUCAAAUUUACAAGAUAGGUAGAAUUUACCCUUAACUUGUACCAAAAAAAAAACCAACGGCAAAUUCACUUCCGAUCAUCUGGCAUCUAAGAAACCCUAGCAGACACUCCAAACCCUAAUUUAUAGGAACCUGAAAACUAUUUUCCCUAUAUCUCAAAAACCCGAACUCCAAAUGUCAUUAAACUUAUGCAUAAAGUUUAGUAACAUGAAAUUACACAUUCCUUGAAAUUUUGAGCCAAAACCUCACAAAAUUGCUCAAGUUAUAGCUCAAGAGACAAACACUAGUAAAUCGGUUGACUUACUACCCUUAGAUUGCAUGUGCUGACUUCAAAAUCCAAUAACUCCUUCAUCCCAACUUAGAAUCCAGAAAGCAGUACGCAAAAAGUAUAGCCGCAAAAGUGCUCUCUCCAGUUGCGGUCGCCGAUCCUCAAUUGCCGUCCGUACGCGUGCGUUAUGCCCCAAAGAGUGACAGUAGGUCCAAAACUAACACCUUAACUUUGAGCGCCUAUAACUUCUUCAUAAAAACCCCAAAUGACACAAAACUUGUACCAAAACCUUAACUAAAAACCUAAACCUUCUGACCCUAGCCUUCAAAGUUCGAAUGGCCUCGAGAAACUAACCCUAAUCCUUCAUAUGGCCUCGGGCAGCCUCUUCAAAGCCCAUUGGUCAUGAUUUUUGACCAAUAGGAAUGGAGAUUUUUAUUUUUCAUCUCCAUUCAUCUGUAUUGGUGCUCUAAUUCCUCCCUUUGCUACCAAAAUCCUUCUUCAAUCCUUUUUUUCUUAUGAGAUUUACAUAAUGUAUGCUCUAAACACCAAAUAAAAGAACCAAAAUAAGUUUUCAAAUGUCACCAAUGUCUAACAAAGGUGACUCUAAAUAUUUAGAAGUUACUAUCAACCAAAACCAAUCUUAAAAGCCACUUUCAAAAGGAAAUUAAAGUUAUAAAAAUUCUAUAGUAAUCUUUUUAAACAACCUCUUCUCAAAGUAAUAAUCAAAUUAUAUCCUACAACCAACUAAAAUCUACUAAUAUGGCUCUUAUCAUGUUACUUAAUAAAUUAUAUAUUAAGUAUAUAAUUACAUUAUUUUCAUAUAGUAGCCGAACCACAACAGGACAUCCACCCCCUCUAAACCUAUGCAUCCUCCGGUAUGCACCAAAAGAACCAAAGUUGUGGUCGGCAUCAUGUUACCUCCUCAGCAAUGUCUUCUUCAAAAUCCAAUUCUUCUUCCUCAUAACUAGAUGGAUCAAAUUCUUCUUCAACAUCUUCAAGGAUUAAUUCUUGAUUCCGUUAUUUGAAAAUUUUUAUAUGUUUUCCUGUAAUUAGAAUUUUGAGUCUUGUUCCAUCUAUUUCCCUCAAUGCAUAUGUAGCAUUAUCCAAAACAUGUACAACCACAUAAGGUCCAAACCAAAGCUUAGAGAACUUUUUAAGAGCACUAUGUUGAUUAUCCAAGCUGUUGUCAUAUACCAAAACCCAAUCACCUUCUUGAAUAUCUUUUGGCCUCAAUCUGUGUCGCUUAUCAAAUCUAUCUUUAUUCUUCAAGCGUGAUUCUCUUAACCUUAUAAUUGCUUUUUUCACAUCUUCAGGUCUUCUUUCUAGUUGAUGAAUUCGAAGUAGAAGUUCUUUUUUAGAUAUAUUGUGUUUCCAAGGCAAGAUACUCCAAGUAGGUACUUGCUCUUCAAUGGACAUAAUAGGCUUCUGUCCUUGCAUUAACUCUGCUGGCAUAUAUCCUGUCACUGAACUGUGAGUAGUUCGAUCAGCGCAAAGAGCAAAUGGCAAUAAUCUUGGCCAUUCUCUUGCUCUUCCUUUGUAGGCUUUAACAAUGGCCUUUAUAAUAGGAAGAUGACCUCUCUCACUCUUAGCAUUGCCUUCUGGAUUAUAAGAUGUAGUAACUGCUAGCUUGAUUCCACAUCUCUCAAAGAAUUGUCUAACCUCAUGUGCAUCCAAUUCCCCACGAUCAGUAGUAAUUUUUCCAAUACAUCCAUAUCUACAAAUCACGUCUUCCAAUAAAAAUCUACAAACUCCUUCAGUGGAUUUUGUUCGUAGAGCUCUUCCUUCUACUUGGUUAGAUAAAUCUUCUCGUGCCAGAGCCAAGUAUCGCAUUUGUCAUAUCCCCAUAGGCAUAGUAACGAGGUCUACAACCCAUUUAUAAUAUAUUACAAGUGAAUAUGUAGGAUGCAAUCCAUCUCUAUGUCGAAUCUCCAAGUAUAUCUGAUAUGUUUGACAUGAUUCUAGAAACUUCACCACAUCUCUAUACAUAUUACGCCACCAAUAUUUUUCUUUGAGCUUGUUAAAGGUGGCAUAAAUACCUCUAUGUCCAGCCCACAAACUAUCAUGAAAUUCAUAGAUUAGUUGUUCUUGCAUCUCUUUCUUGCAAACUACUCUUUGUGGUAUUCCACUAUUCCGUUUGCAUCGCUUCCAUAGGUAACCACCUUGUAAGAGGUAAUUAUAAGCCUUCCGUCUAAUCUGCUUGAAAUGAAUAUCACUCCAUCCUGAUUGUCUUGAUAAUGUGCUUAAAUAGCGUCUAAUAUCAAUCCAUUCUUCUUCAUACAAUUCUUCUGUAAAUAGUCUUGGAUAUUCAUCUUCUCUUUGUUGUGCCCUAGAAUAAAAGGUAGUAUCUAUAUCUUCAGUAUCUUCAAUCAAAUCUUCUUCUUGUUCAUAUCUGGCUCGGGAUAACAUAUCUGCUACAAGAUUAUCCUUGCUUGCUAUAUGCCUAAAUUCAGGAUUCAAAGAUUUAAUAUAUGCAAUCCAUCUUAGCAUAGCAAUAUCAGGGGUGUUACAGUUGGUAAUCAUUCCCAAUAGUGGCAAGCAAUCUGUUUCCACUAUCACUGGUGCUCCAAUUAAAUAAUCUCUUUCACUUUUCAUAUCUGUAACUAUUUCCCAUAGCUCCCGUUUCACCUAUAGAUAGUUUCUUUGUCGUUCACUUAAUACUUUAGCUCCAAAUCUAAUAGAAAACCUGUUCCCUUCUUCAUCAUUUUGUCCUAAAGCCCAACCAACAGCUAUUGGACUAGUAUCAACUAUAAGUAUCACCGAUUUACCAUCCUCAUAACUUAUCCUUCGCAAUACAGGUGGAGAAGAUAAUAAUUAUUUUAGCUUUUGAAUUGUUUCUGUAUAUUUUUUCUCCCAUUUAAAUCUCUUCCCUUUUCGUAGCAAACUAUAAAGAAGAUCAGCUACAUAUGCAUAAUGAGGAAUCCAUACACAAUAAAAUAUGCAAGCUCCUAAAAUCUUUUGUACCUCUGUUUGUGAGCUACAAAUAUCCUUCAUUCGUUGUAUGGCAUCCACCUUAUUAGGAUCAGGUUUGCGACCAAACCAUCCAUAUAAAUGCCCUACAAUAAUAACUUCUCAAACUCCAAAAGUAGAUUUAGCUCCUGACAGUGUCAAGUGAACCUCCUCAAGUCGAGAUAAAAUUUUGUCACAGUCUAAAAUAUGAUUAGAUAAAAAUUUACAACACCCCUUCUGAUCCAUUGUUUCAUCUUUUUCUUCUUCCACACACCCUUUUAUUGGAAUAUUAUCUAAGAAGGGCAUAGUCUUUUCUGGAAUGAAAUCACGAAGAACCUUAUUCAUCCCAUUCAUCAUAUGAGCUACUGAGUUUGUUGCUCCUUGUGGCAAUGUAUACAUCUUAAUCAACCUUAAAGGUGUCCUCAUAGUAGUAACAUCUUUGCUUCCUUCAGCUACUUGAAAUUGAUCAUAUCCAGAAUAAAGAUCUCCAACAGAGUAAAUAGCUCUACCAGCAAAUGCCUCAGCAAAUUCUCCAACAAUUGGUCCAACUCCAGUAUUUCUAAUAGUUACUUGAUUUACUGGUUGCAUAUCUUGAAUAAACCAUAGUGUUCCAUUUUUCUUUGGUACUAUAAACCAACAGCUGGAAUAUGGUGCAAAUGAUGGCUCGAGGAUCUUCAUUUGCAUCUUUUCUUUUAAAAGCUUCAUAAGUUUAGGUAGAUGUACUUUAGGCACUGAAAUUGGUCUUAAAUCCCAAGGAACAUGUGGAACUAUAAAUAUAAUCAUUGGUGCCACAACACUUGGAUCAACACAUCCAAUUUCUAAAGGUUCAAAAGCAAAGGCCUUUCCAUGCAUACUUAACAUUUUUCUAAAUUCCAUUUCUUCAACAGGAAAUAAGAAAUUUGCAGAUCCUAUUUUUAGCUCAUUAAGUGUGUUCUUAGUAAACUUAUGGUCAAUUUGUUUAGGAUCCCGUAAGACCUUCUCCUUCAAAGCUAAUUGAACUUGAUGAUUGGAAUCACUAGGUAAUGGUAUAGCUACUGGUUUUAUUUUUCUUUCCACAGUCUUGUACUUAGUUUCAACUUCGACUUCAUAAUCUUGAAAUGCUUGUAUAGUUGAGUAGAGCUCUCUUGAAUGUACUUGCAUCACUAGAUCUUCAUUUCCUUAUUCAACCUCUAAAAGCUCUUCCAUAAAAUUUUCUAAACCAGUCUCCAUAUAUACACCUAUUAUCUUAUCAUCUCCAUCAAGCACACCCACUCUUUUUAGGUCUUUUUUAGAUUUUUGCACAACCUUUUUCUCCCACUUUGGUAAAUCAUUAAGUUGUAUAUAGAUAACAAAUCCAUUCUUAGAUAAUUUUAUAACACCUGUACAAAAGGUACUUUCUUUUUCAUGCAAGAGUAUCUUCUUUGAUGUACCACUACAUUUCCGCUCUAUAGUGGUACCCUGUAAAAAUCCGUAAACUCUUCACUAACCCUUGGUAGUAAUUCACUUCGUAAAUAAUUCCGAUUGCGCUCAUGGUUUGCAAUUACUGUUAGAAAUUGCACUGCCUUUUUUCCAUCUUGACUUCUAAUACGGUGUCGUAUUACGUGCUUUCCUGCUCGAGAAUGCGCCGGGCGUCUGGCUGUAGAAGGUAGUAUGGAGAUUCGUCGAUAGUCAAGCAGUCUAUCAAUUUUGACUGCUGGAAUAUAAACGAUUGCAACAAUGUACCGUAAAUCUAUACAGAUGCUCUUCGACUGCUUGUCGAAGUCAUUUUUGCCCAAGCCGGUAGGUCUCUAGACGUUACAGAGAACCCCGAACAACCCAAACUGUUAAUCUUCAAUACCGCUUUGUACUUACGAUCUUGUAUCCACUGACUGUCUUGUUAGAUUAACCCAAUAAAUUUCAUUCACUCCGCAUACUCAAUCCUAUAGACACCCUUUUAAUCCUUCGAUCAGAGACGUAAAUCGAUUUCACAAAACAGUCAAGAGUAUUCAAACCCACUUCAUUAAAAAUCCCGAUUCACCAUUACAAUACUGACUUCAGCAGCGAUUGCCUCAGUCUUCCCAAAACUCUACGAAGAAGAAAAAUCCAAAUUCUAUGUCUUUCCUUCCCCGAUCCGAAGCAUGAAGCUCCUCUUCUCUAAUCCCCUUGAUCUUCAAAAACCUCCAAUGAAAACCAAACUAGUAACCUUGCAAAAGCUUAAAACUAGCUCCCCCCGAUUCCCAGAGAAAAAAAAAACCCCCCCUGAUCUUUGAUCUGAAAAAAAAAAAACAAAAAAAAAAAACCCCUAAAAACUGAUUCCCCUUCAAACUUAUUCUCCCCCUAACCUUAUCCUCUUGAAUUCCUUCAAUCUUUCGUCUUGGAUCCAAAAUUGGCUCCCGCCGUCAGAGCUUAGAUCCGAAAUUGGCUCACAUCAUCAAGGCCUUCUCCUCCGUUUUUACCUUUAAGAGAUCCAUUUACCGCAAACAACGUUCCCUGAAACGGCACAGAGAACAGGACAGCCUGAAACAAAAUCGAAACCCCCUACUCGGGUCCACAUUGAGUCGCCCGACCAAUUCAGGUCCCAUAUUGGGAGAGAUGCCCGUAGUAACCUGGAUGUUCGCAUAAUUGGGUCAAAUUGGUCCUCACGUCAGAUUGGCUAAGAUCCGUAGUAAGACCUGGAUUUCCCGUAAUUAGAUUGCAUUGGGUUGACCGGCCAAUUCAGGUCUCAUAUUGGGUAAGAGGACCCGGAUUGGAUUCUCGAAAUUGGAUCCAAUUGGCUCUUCGAACCCAUCGUGUGAAUUGGUCCUUCUCUUCCUACUGACUCCUGUUAUUGGAAUUGAACGGAGCAUUUCAGUAUGCCCCGGCUGACUGUAACGGGGUGACUGAACCUGGCCACUCAGUAUUUGUACAGGAGUUGGUCGUUGCUCCCAAUAUUCGAGGUAACUGAAUAUUAAUAAAAUUCCCCUUUCUUUUUAUUUUCACUGUAUACUCGUGUUACAACACGACAACGGGCACAUGCUGAUCCAUUAUCCAAAACUUUGGUCUCCAUCCUCACAGCUGUAAUAUAUGGUUGACCAAGAAUCACUGGGUAUGAAGUAGUGUCUUGAACAAAAAAAUUUUGUUCUGUAGUCACAUCUCCAACCUUUACCUUCACAUUAGGGCAAGCACCAUAAAGAUCUCCUCGUAUAUUAUUUGCUGCCCGAAUCACCCAUCCAUGGUUAAUAUCAAUGGGCCACCUUCCACGUUUAUAGACCUCUUUUGACAUAAUAUUAAUUUCAGAUCCAUGGUCAAUAAGAGCAAUUACUGGUUCUUCCAAGUCUUCCAUUUUUACUAAAGUCUCUGUGGUGGGUCUUGCCCAAUGUCCCUUGGUAUAGUGUCCAUGGCCCUUGUCAUCAUCCUUGUAUUCAUUCAAAUCAAAUUUUCCCUUUUUAUUGAUACAACAUUCUGCCAAUUCAUGUUCCUCUUCAGUCAAGAUUGUAUCCAAAGCAUUAGAUACAGCAGAUUCUCUUGUCAACUGCCUCUUUCGUUUAAUAGUGUCUAUGAUGACUUCAUGAAACUCUCUCUUUGCAAUGCCUAAAAUUUCUCAUAGAGUAAAUUCAAUUUUGGCAUUCAAUACUCUUUCCUCCAAGACUCCUUUCAAAUCUGUGGCUGCCUCAAUAUCACAUUGAAGUUUAUAAGUAACAUGCUUACUCUUUCCUUUGUCUCUAUCAACCUCUAUCCUUUCUUCCCAUUUUUCUUUUGGCAGUGAAGCAUUUCCCGGAUGCAAUAUUGAUGGCUCAGCCUUAGAUGGUCUAUUAACAUGUAGUAAAGGUAAUUCUUUAUUUUGUGCUGUUUCUGCAUGCCUUUGAGAUCUCCUCUUGUUUGUUGGCUCUUCAGGAUUUUUUUCUAUUUCAUUUCUUCUCCUUUUCACCUCCAUUAGAGCUUCAUGUUGAGACUUUGCUAAAUAAGUAUGUACAGACAUAGUAUCUACAGGAUCAUCCCAUUCUGUAGCAUUUCUAAUUAUUAUGGCUGUAUUAAGUAAUUCUUGCCUUGUUGUUUUUCCUUUAUUCAUGCUGAUAAUAGCAUGAUUCUAUAGAUUCCCUGUAUUUAUAUACUUAUCAAAAACAUCCUCCUUCUCCCUUACAGCCUCAAUGCCAUAAGUAAUAGCUUCUCUUGAUGCCACAGCCUGUUGAGAUAAAUGCUCUUCCAAAACUUUUUUCAUCCCUCCUUUUCCAACAUUGGUUUUGAGAAACUCACCUGUAUCUCGCAAUACAAUUUUUCCAUCUUUCUAUAAAAUUACUCCCUAUCGCAGAAUAUCAAUAAAAUUUCCACACUCCCUUCGAGGAUGCUCCAUACUAUCGCACCAAAUACAUCGUUGUAUAUAUCCUAGCUUUGAUACAGAUUUGCUCUCAUGUAAUCUUUCUUUCUCCUCUAGCUUUGCUAGUUUGAUUUGUAAGUCUUUCAUUCCUUUUACCAACUCAUCAAUUGCAUCUUUCUGUGGUGCAAUUGUAGACAUAGGAAUUGGAAUAGGUCUUACUGAUAUAGCAGGUUCUGGCUGUUGCCUACAAGAUGUUGUAGUUGGUAGAAGUCUAGUCUCUUAUCUUACUACCACCUUACCCCUCUGAUACUCUCUUUUAGCAAGUAUGCCCACAGCUUCAGAAACUUUCUUCCAAUCAGUAGUAAGUCCAUUGUCCUCUGUAUUAUCCUCCAAUAAUAAUUCCAACUCUCUUUGUAAAUCAUUGUCAGCUGAUUGAAGAAAUAACUCCACCUUAUCAUUUUCAAGUGUAAGCUUUUCCACUCGAGAUAAUUGAAGACACUGUCUUUCAAACUCUCGAAAUAACUCUGUUGCAACCAAGUCCUUGUUGGAUUUAUUGACCCAUUCCAUAAACGAUUUUCUUGUCACCCUUUUUGCAUCUUCCAAAGAAUACUCUUCUUUUAGCUGAAGGGUAAAAUCCUCCCAUUUCUCUCUAUGAGUUCUAAUAAUCCCCUUUAUAUGCUCACGAAGCUCUGGUACAAUUACAAGCUCAAAUGUUAGAAUCAUAUCUUUUUUUGGUACUUUAUUGAGCUCCAUCUCCCGAGAAUAAUACUUGAGAUACUUGGAAAUAUUUCUUCCAUCAAAUUGAUCUAAUAAACCAACAACAGAUUGUAAGGCUUUAGUAGCCAUUGCCUCCUUGCGUUCCACAGCUUGCUGUUGUUGCAUAAAAAGUAAAAAUACUUGAAACAUUUGAAUUGUAGUAGGAUCCAAUUGCAAUGGAGAUUCUCCAAUGCAAUUCCUACUACCACUUUCUUGCCCACCUUCCAUAAUAAAAGCCAAAAUAUUUCUUGAAAACUCUCUACCCCAGAAAUUUUCACGUCGAGUUCACCUGGUCUGUCGUAUGGCGUGAUUUGCUAUCUGGGAAUACACUGGGUAUCUAGCUGUAGAGAGUGUACCUUAAACCUUUAUAUGAUUCUUUUCUUGGCUUCCAAAACUCUUUUAUUUUUGUAUAAAACUCCAAAUAUAACAAAAUCCCUUCAAAACAUAUUUUUCCCGCGAAGGGUUUUCUCGCCCCGAACUUUAGAAAAUCAUAACUAUUGAUCUAACCGUUCAGUUUGUUUCAAAUUUACAAGAUAGGUAGAAUUUACCCUUAACUUGUACCAAAAAAAAACCAACCGCAAAUUCAAUCCCGAUCAUCUGGCAUCUAAAAAUCCUAGCAAACACUCCAAACCCUAAUUUACAAGCACCCGAAAACUAUUUUCCUUAUAUCUCAAAAACCCGAACUCCAAAUGUCAUAAAACUUAUGUACAAAGUUUAUUAACAUGAAAUUACACAUUCCUUGAAAUUUUGAGCCAAAACCUCACAAAAUUGCUCAAGUUAUAGCUCAAGAGACAAACACUAGUAAAUCGGUUUACUUACUACCUUUAGAUUGCAUUUGCUGACUUCAAAAUCCAAUAACUCCUUCAUCCCAACUUAGAAUCCAGUAAGCAGUAUGCAAAAAGUAUAGCCGCAAAAGUGCUCUCUCCAAUUGCGGUCGCCGAUCCUCAAUUGCCGUCCGUACGCGUGCGUUAUGCCCCAAAGAGUGACAGUAGGUCCAAAACUAACACCUUAACUUUGAGCGCCUAUAACUUCUUCAUAAAAACCCCAAAUGACACAAAACUUGUACCAAAACCUUAACUAAAAACCUAAACCUUCUGACCCUAGCCUUCAAAGUUCGAAUGGCCUCGAGAAACUAACCCUAAUCCUUCAUAUGGCCUCGGGCAGCCUCUUCAAAGCCCAUUGGUCAUGAUUUUUGACCAAUAGGAAUGGAGAUUUUUAUUUUUCAUCUCCAUUCAUCUGUAUUGGUGCCCUAAUUCCUCCCUUUGCUACCAAAAUCCUUCUUCAAUCCUUUUUUUCUUAUGAGAUUUACAUAAUGUAUGCUCUAAACACCAAAUAAAAGAACCAAAAUAAGUUUUCAAAUGUCACCAAUGUCUAACAAAGGUGACUAUAAAUAUUUAGAAGUUACUAUCAACCAAAACCAAUCUUAAAAGCCACUAUCAAAAGAAAUUAAAGUUGUAAAAAUUCUAUAGUAAUCUUUUUAAACAACCUCUUCUCAAAGUAAUAAUCAAAUUAUAUCCUACAACCAACUAAAAUCUACUAAUAUGGCUCUUAUCAUGUUACUUAAUAAAUUAUAUAUUAAGUACAUAAUUACAUUAUUUUCAUAUAGUAGCCGAACCACAAUACGACACCUUACUCUAGUCGAUGGUUUACGAUGCCUAAGAAGAAUGGGUCACUACGGUUCAUUCAAGAUAUGCAACCGAUGAAUGUAGUAACUGUCAGGAAUGCAGGAAUUGGACCUAUUGUGGAUGAAUUGGCUGAGGCAUUUGCAGGAAGGGUGAUCUAUUCAAUAGGUGACUUGUAUUGAGGUUAUGAUCAAUUUCAACUUAUCGAAGGAAGUAGAGAUAUGACAACGAUGAGGACACCACUUAGAUUGAUUAGAAUGUGCACUCUUCCUCAAGGCGCGUCCAACUCAAUUGUGCAUAUGAUGAAUGGGAUGAAUAAGGUAUUGAGAGAUUUUAUUCCGAAGAAGAUUAUACCUUUUUUAGAUGAUGUUCCUAUAAAAAGGUGUAGAGAAGGAGAUAAGGAUGAAACUUUAGAUAAGAAGGGGUGUCGCAAAUAUGUUGUUGAUCAUAUACAAGAUUGUGAAAAGAUUUUAACUCGGCUUGGAGAAGUUCAUCUUACAUUAUCGGAUAUGAAGUCCGUAUUUGGAGUACAUGAGGUUGUGAUUGUUGGACAUUUAUGUGGAUCUUACGGAAGAAAAUCAGAUCUGACUAAAGUUGAUGUAAUUGGAAAGAUGAAAGAGGAUUGUGAAUCUUUACUAGAGGUUCACAGGUUUUUAGGUGCAUGUGUAUUUUAUCAAAUCUGGAGCCCUCAUUAUGCUCACAUAGCGGAUCCAUUAUAUGAACUGUUAUGCAAGGGCUACCGAUUUAAAUGGAAAAAAAGGCAUAUUUAGGCAAUGCAAAGAUUAAAGAAAUUAUUGAUGUCACCUCCAAUAUUGAGGAAGGUUGAUUAUAAGUGCAAUAGACUAGUGAUUCUUAUUGUGGACACUAGUCGAACUGCCACUGGAUGGGUUGUGGAUCAAGAUGAUUCAAGUGAAAAUAGAUUUGCAAUUCGAUUUGGAGCUAAAGUUUUAAGUAUUCGUCAGCAUGCAUAUUCGCAAGUCAAACGAGAACUUUGGGGAGUUGUUUCGGCUAUGAAAGCUGAAAAGGACUAUUUGAUUGGAGUAGUAGUAGUAAUUGAAACAGAUUGCUUGCCAUUGCUUGGAAUGAUUACUAACUGUUCAAUGCCAGAUAUUGCAAUGUUGAGAUGGAUUGCUUAUAUUAAGUCACUAAAUCUGGAAUUUAAGCAUGUUAUUGGGAAAGACAAUUUAAUAGCAGACAUGCUAUCUCGAGUAAGAUACGAGAGGAAGGAUGAAAUGGUUGAAGACAUUGAUGACGUCAGAUUGAAAUUCUAUUCAAUAUGAAAUCUCAACAAAGAAGACAAGCUAUUUCUUGAAGAAUCUUAUGAAGGAGAAUUAUUGGAUAUUGGUCAUUACUUGAAUACCUUGAUUAAGCAGGAGAAUUGGUUUACAAAAAAAUUCAAACAAAUAAGAAAAAAAGCAUAUGGAUUUUUGCUUCAAGAUGGAUUCUUAUGGAAGAGACCGAAGAAAGAAGUUGAGAUGCCACAAUGAGUAAUAGGCAAAAAAGAAGAAAAACUAAAAUUAUUAAAGGAGUUUUAUGAUAGUUUAUGGGUAGGGCAUAGAGGAAUCUGGGCUACUUUUGCUAAACUCAAGGAACGAUAUUAGUGGAAAAAUAUGUAUCAAGAUGUGCUCUCAUUUGUAGAGUCAUGUAAAAUCUCUCAAUCGUAUUCUAAUAUCCGACAUCAAGAUGGUCUUCAUCCUACGUAUCCUCUGGCUAUUCAUUUUAAAUGGAUUGUUGAUUUGGUUAUUAUGCCAGUUGGAUUAUGGUAGAUGAGAUAUUUAGUCUUAGCUCGUGAAGAUUUAUCAAAUCAAGUAGAAGGAAGAGCAUUGAGGACAAAAUCUAUAAAAGGGAUUUGUAGGUUUUUGCUUGAAGAUGUCAUUUGCUGCUACGGAUGUAUAGGAAAAAUCAUUGCAGAUCGUAGAGAAUUAAAUGCACAAGAAGCUCGUAAGUUCUUUGAAAGAUGUGGAGUUAAACUAUCAUUGACUAUUGCUUAUAAUCUGGAAGGGAAUGUAAAAAGUGAACGUGGUCACCGACCGAUUGUGAAAGCAUUAGUUAAAGCUUGUAAUGAGAAAGUUAGAAAGUGGCCACGGCUUUUGUCAUUUGCAUUAUGGGCUGAUCGAACACCACAUAGUUUGGUGACAAGAUAUAUGCCAGUAGAACUUAUGACACGUCGAAAACCAAUUAUGUCGAUUGAAGAAAGGAUACUUACUUGGAGUAUGCUACCAUGGGAAGAUGGAUUGACAAGAGAAGAACUUCUAGCUAUUAGGAUUCGACAAUUGGAGCAAAGAUCGGAAGAUGUGCAGAUAGCAUUGGAAAGGUUAAAAAGAACAAGGUUAUAAAAUAGGCGCGAUUCGAUAAGCAACAUUGAUUGAGACCUAAAGCAAUUGAAGAAGGUGAUGAGGUACUUAUUUAUGAUAGUAGUCUAGACAACCAAUAUAGCAUUUUAUGGAAGUUUUUGAAACGUUGGUUUGGACUGUAAGUGGUAACAACUGUUCAUGAUAAUGCGACUUACUCAUUGCGGGAGUUCGAUGGCACAAGGUUAAAAAUACCAAUUGCAGGGAAGAGAGUGAAAUUAUUUAAACAAAGAUAUGUAGAAAUAAAUUUAGAAGACCUUAAUGAAGAUAUAGUUAUUCCGCAGUGGGAAGAUGAAAUUGAUUUGGAUAGUAGAGACGGUGGAGAUGGACUAGACGAAGAUUUGGAGAACAUACUAUGAAUCAAACGGCAACUAGGUUAAAUGGUGCAUACUGGAGGAUACAUAGGUUCAGAGAGGGUGGAUGUUGUGUUGUAAUACGUCUAUAUGAAGAAAAUAUAAAUGAAGAAGAGUUAUUAAUAUUUAGUCACCUUGGGUAUUAGAAGCUCUGGCCAAUUCUAAUACAAAUACUGAGAGGCCAAGUUUAGUCAUCCCGUUAUAGUCAGCCGAGGCAUACUUACGAAUAACAAAAUGCUCCGUUUGAUUUCAAUAAUGGGAGUCAGUAGAAAGAAAAAAGACCAAUUCAACGAUGGGUGAGCCUAGUUCGAAGAGCCAAUUGGAUCCAAUUUCAGAAGACCUCGAAUCUAGGUCCUAUUAUAGGCCUUUUAUCCAAUAUGAGACCUGAGUUGGUCGGGCAAUCCAAUGUGGUCCUAUUACGGGCUUCGAUUUCGUUUCAGGUUGUUCCGAUUCUUUGUACCGUUCUGGGAACGUCCUUUCAGUAAAGGAUCUCUUAAAGGCAAAAAUGGAGGGGAAAAAGCUCCAUCAGUUGUUCCAAUUCAGAGAAUCUAAGGUAGAAGAAUAGGAUCUUCUUAGGAUAAAGGAGAGAAUAGGUUAAGAAACGAGGAGGGGAGAAUCAGGAUUUUAAGGAUCAGAGAGCUAGCUUCAUGCUCGAAAAGACAGAGAGUUUGGGGUUUUUUUUCUUUAUAGGGUUUUAGAAAGAGUGAGGCAAUCCUUCCUGAAAGUUAGUGAUAUAUUGGUGAAUUGGAUUUUUUGUAAGAGAGAUCAAGGCUGGUACUAUUGAUUGUUGUUGGAAUGGGAGAUACUUCUGUGGUUGAAAUUCAGAGUUGUCUAGAAGGUUGAGUAUGCUGAAUGUAUGCGUGGUUGUGUUAAUCUGACUGUACGGAUAAAGGAUAUCUGCCAACACUUUAAAGAGGUUUUGGGAGUUGGCAAAUUGGGAUUUGUUAGGAUUUCUAUGAUAACUGGAGACCUACCGACAGGGAUAAGAAGAAUAGCGGCAAGCGGCCAAGGGACAUCGGUGCAGAUUACAGCAUAGCCUCAUAAUCUGUAAGCGGGGUUGAAUUGGAACUUCUUGAGCAUUCGAAAGGGCUUGUAGAGACACUAGCAAUAGAUGUUUCACAACAAGUCGGAAGGGUAGAUUGAGGAUCAUAGCUUGUCGAAGCUCACGGUCUAGGAUUAAGGUAAGUAAUGAUAAAGAUAAAAUAAAAAAUAUAAAAUAAAUAAAAUAAAAUAAAAAUAACAAAAGAGAUUGAAGUUAUAUAGGAUCUCUAGGUGUUUUAUAUUGGAAUUAAACUUUUACAUUGCAAUCCAAUAUAGAUUGUAUUUGGGUAGUCAAGAACCCGAUAGAUUGCUUGAGUACUAGCGAAACACCAUACUACCUCCUACAGCCAGAUUCCCAGUGCGUUCUCAAGCAAGUUAGCACGUAAUUCGACAGCAUAUUAAUGCUAUAACAUAUAAAACUGCAUGACCCCACAUAAAUGCGAGUAGAUUUGUGUGAAGGAGGAGUGGCCAGGUAAUGAGUUGUAUACGCUUUAUAAAUGACUCUGCAAGUCCAUUUUGAGCAUGUUCAUAUGAAACACAAUAUGUCAACUCAAUUCCUGUUAUAAUACAAUAGUCUUCAAAAGACUUUGAUGUGAAUUCUUUUAUAUUAUCCAAACACAAUGUUUUUUUAGGAUAAUCAAGAAAAUAUGCUCGAAAGCAAAUAAGCAUAGAUAUAAGAUUGGCAAACACCAUGUUUUGAGUUGAUAAUAAUGAAAUAUGUGAUUGUUUAUCUGAUGCAUCAACAAGGACCAAAAAAUAACGAAAUAGUCCUCAUAUUGGAUUAAUAGGACUACAAAUAUCACUAUGCAAUCUUUCAAGCAUUGGUGGUAAUUCUUGUGGAAGUUUCUAAAUUGAAGGCCAAGUAAUCAUUUUAUCUUGCAUGCAUGCACAACAUAAUUCCAUAGAGUGUAUAUCUGCAGGCUUAAAAUUGUGCCUAGUUAUACAUGGAAUGAUCUAUCUAAAUAAUGUGGAUCUUGGAUGUGCCAAUCGCCCAUGCCAAAGAGAAAUACGACUCUCUGAGAUAGAUGAUGCAAAAUUAAAUAUAAUGGUAGGCUGAAUCACAAUUCAAUAAAAACCAUUUUUUGUAGCAAAAGCUUUUUCAACAACUUUAUGGUUCUUUGCCAGAACCAAAACCUCUUUUCUAUUUAAAGUGGCAGUUGAGAGAUAAAAACCUGUCAAGGACAAGAACUCGAUGAAAAAGUAAUUCAGACAAAUGAGCCUUCACUCAAAGAAAGGUAACAAAAUAUAAAUAAACGAGUAUGUAUAUUGAAAGAGAAACUGGAAUGGCUAUUGCCAAAAGACAAGAAAACUAGAGAUCCUUGAAACUAGAUUGGGAACAAGAAAGGAGUUGACAAGAGUGAAGAAGGCUUCACUCUUGUCUCUAUAUAUACUAUCUUACUAGGGGCUAUGUGGCGACGUUCUAUAGGACCUCCAAUAUGUGUUGACUUUGUAAGACACAUGCCUUGACUUACAAGGUAAGUUUUUCUAUGUGUAGGCCACAUAGCUAAAUUGGUCUUCAAGCUAAUAACAUGUGUGGCACAUGGCCAACUUGUUGACCAUGUUUCUAAUCCCAAAAAGUCAAUUAAAGAUACCUAUAAAGUCAAAGCAGCGUCUAUUAAGCUUCUAAGAAGCUUUCAAAUCAAAUACUAUAGAAUUAACUUACUUUUAUUUACUUUUACUUACUUCCACCUAUUUAUAUAUAUAAUUAUUGGUUUAUAUGAGGAUGUCCGUGACAUUACCCUCUCUUUUAGGGACGAGUUCCAUGAGGAGUAGUCAUCAUAUGUUGAGAAAAUCUAUAAUGCAACGAAUUGUAUUCGCCACUAAGCUGAUCUUUGUUCUCUUUGAAGAUGAUUGAUAGGGCCUCUCAACUAUCGAUAGUGUUCCAUACUAGGAUGGGAACACCACCCAGUUAUUUGAUCAUUGUUGAGGCCUUCAUAACUUCCUUCGAAUAGAAUAUUUGGAACACCAUCAGGAGUUGUUCCUACCUCUAGUAAAAUCACCAAACAUAGAAGUCCCUUCCUGAGUCGUGAUAUCAAACGCGUUGUAUCUCACCAUCUAUUCGAAGAAGAACACGUCGUUCUUGAAGAUCUUCAUCUCAACUGCGUCAUCUUAAACGUUGUGACAAUUGUAAUGUUUCAUUUGGUAGGUCAACAAAUGAAGGUCUUUGAAUUGAAUCUACUCGUUAUUGGUUCUCCAUCUCCCGAGCAUCACAACUACAAAGAAGCUAUAAAGAAGGAUUGAAAGUAGAAUGUUAUCUUGCUUAGAUGUAAUUUCUUUUAUAAAGAAGAUUUUCAUCUUGAUUUUGAUAGAUGUCGUCGAUGAAAAGCCUCCAUUACCUUUACUGCAUUUGCAAGAUUCUUUACUGGCUCCUAUGUACGUUCACUAAUAUCAUAUCCGCACCAAUGGACAAGAUAUUCCAAUUUAUUUUUGCAACGCCUUAAAUCUAAGGCUUCUUUUACUUCAAACUCUUCAUUAUUAUCCUUUUCUAUAGGAAGAGGUGGAGCUUGUCAUCUUCUUGUUAUGUCCAUUGUCUUGUAUGGUUCAAGAAGAGACACGUGGAAUACUGGAUGGAUUUUCAUUGACUUCAGUAAAUGCAAACGAUAUGCAACUGGAUUGAUUUGUGCAGCAAUAGAAAAUGUUCCCAACCUUCGAUAGUCCAACUUAUCACAAGGACGAGUGGUCUUGAUAUUGUGAUGAAGUAGCCAUACGUUAUCACCCAAGUGGAAUGGUGGUUGUUCCUUUCAAUAGACAUCCGCUAUCGGGAUAGAGAGAGUUUGCCUCAAGAAAAUGUUGGGCUUCUGGCUGUCACUAAUUAUUCAAUCAAGCUUGAAAAUAAAAGAAGCCCUAAGUUUAUAUAUAAUUUUUCUCUUUUUGAGUAAUUACACUAAAUACACAAUCCUCAAGUAACCCACAACUUCCAAAAUAUGAUAAAAUCUUCUAAAUCCUUAUUUAUUCUUAUGUGGAGAUUUUUCCGAACUUCAACACCUCAUAUCUCUUAAUCCGACCGUCCAAACAAAUUCAAAUUUUACAUGAGAUACUGAUGUUUUCUUAUUAACUUCUACAACAAUUUUUAACCGCAAAUUCAUUGCAGAUCUUGAGAUAUCUUGAAAACCCUAACAGUCGCUUCAAACCCUUCUCUUUAUACAUCCGCAUAAAAUUUUCUUCAUAUCUCACAAAAUAUAAACUCAAAUGCCACGAAAUUUGUAUUUAUAGCUUUUUAAUACAAAAUUGUACAUUCUCCAAAAAGUUUGAGCCAAAAAUUCGUCCGAAAACUCAAGUUAUGGCUCCAACCAUUACUACAAAAAAACCCGCUUACUUACUACAUUUGAUUUGGAAGCGCCGCCUUCAACUCCUUACAACUCCUUCAUAUGAACUUCAAAAGCAAUAAUUCUUUCGUGAAAGAUGUAGGCCUUGAAAUUGCUGUUCCAGUUGUACCUUCCGAUCUUCAAAAGCUGCUGUAAAACUCCUCGUCCUCUCAAAAGAGUAACAGUAUGUCUUAAAUAAACACCUUAACUUCAAACGGUUAUAACUUUUUCACCCUAACUCCAAAUCCUCUAAUUUUUGUACACAAAUUGUUUUCCAAACCCUAAACUUUACAACCUUAGCUUCUAAUCUCCGAAUUACUCCUUUGAAGUCGCCGAAACCCUUCUUAAGUUCGCAGGCAGCCUCCUCAAAGCCCAUUGGGCAUGGUAUUCGACCAAUAGAGAUGAAGUUCCCCAUUCCUUGCCUUCAUCCGACCAUGCCUUGCUUUCAUCCCUCCCAAUUAGCUUCCUACUAGUUUAGAUUUUCAUCCUUAGGUUUCCACCUUUUCCCAAGGUUUCAUACUAAACAUUUAGGUCCUAUAUAUAUAUAUAUAUAUAUAUUAAUGUCAAAAUCAAAAGAAAUAAAGAAACAAAGUAAAGUUUCUUAUUCCAACUCUUUUUAAUUUAAUCUACUAGCCACUCUAACAUACAUCUAGAUUUAUCAACAUAUAAUAUGUUUUAACUAAUUUUUACAUACUGUAAGCAUUUACAGUACGACACCGCAUUGACAUUUUGUUGUUCUUGAGCCUCUUUUAACCAUGCCUUCAUCGUUGCAUGUAGCUCUAAUAAAUAAAUCGCCAAAUCUUUUGCAGCAAGAUUAUCAACUUUUGAAAAGUCAAAAAUAUCAAGUCGUGGAUGAUAACCAUAAUUAGCAAAGAAAGGUGUUUGUUUUGUAGAAGAAUGUAUAGUGUUAUUGUAAGCAAACUCUCCUAAUGACAAAAGAAUUGUCCAAUCAUCUUAUUGGUAGUUAAUGGUACAUCUUAAAUAUUGCUCCAAAACUUGAUUAACAUGCUCCAUUUGUCCAUCAGUUUGAGGAUGGAAUGCUCACGAUAGUUUUAUAUCCACUUUUAGAAUCUUGAAAAAAAUCUGCCAAAAUCUUGAUACAAAUUGAGUUUUUCUAUCUGAUAUAAUAUCCUUAGAUAAUCCAUGAUAGCGAUAGAUAUUGUUAAGAAAGAGCUUAGCUAUUUCUUCACCUAUGAUAGAUUUUGUACAUGGUACAAAAUAUGCCAUCUUAGUAAAACGAUCUAUUAUCACGAAUAUAGAGUCACAAGAACUUGAGAUUCAAAGAUCUGUGAUGAAGUCGAUAGAAACAGAAGACCAUGGUUGAUGAGGAGUUUUUGAUCUUGAGCAAACAUUACAUGAUUGUACAAAAUCUUUGAUUGGACAUCUAUUACCAUUUUUGGGAUCUUUCAAUCUAUAAUAGUUUGAACUUUCUUAGGAUCUAUCAUAUGUCCAUCAUUUGAAAUGAUGUAAUCUAAGAAAUUGAUUUGAAUAGUGUGGAAUACACACUUUUCUAUCUUGGUAUAGAGUCCUACAUCUCUUAAUUUUUAUAACACACGACAAACAUGAAGUUCAUGUUCUUUUGGAUUCUUAGAAUAGAUUAAGAUGUCAUCUAGAUAAGAGACCACAAAAUCGUCCAAAAACUCUUGAAAAACAUCAUUCAUUAAAUAUUAAAAAGUUGUUGGUGCAUUUGUAAGUCCAAAAAGAAUGACGUUGUAUUCAAAAUAUUCAUACCUAGUUUGAAAAGCAGUCUUCUAUUCAUCUCCUUCUUUAUUGUGUAUUAGAUUGUAUGCUCUCCAAAGAUCUAUUUUUGUAUAGAUCUUAGCUUGAUUCAGUUGAUCAAGAAGUCCACGUAUUAAAAGUAGUGGAUAUUUGUUCUUGAUGGUAAUCUUGUUGAGUCCUUGAUAAUCAACACACAUCCACAAUGAUCUAUCUUUUUUCUUCACAAAUAGAAUUGGAGCUCCUAUCGGAGAUUUAGAAUGGCAUAUAAAAUUCUUGGCUAGAUUUUCUUCAAUAUUCUCCUUGAGUUCAAUCAACUCAUUUUGUGAUAAACUGUAGAUUGGUCCAAAUGGCGAUUAUGCUCCUUCUUGAAGGUCAAUUGAGCAAUAAUAGGGACGAUGUUCUGGAAGUGUAUCUGCAUUCUUUUUUUCAAAUACAUCUUGAAAUUCUUGAUAUUGGCUUGGAAUGCCACGUGAAGUCUUUGCAUCGUUAGAAAUGGGUGUGGCAUAAAUAAUAUAUGGUGAUUCUUUCAUAGCAGCAUACAAGAAAGCUUUUGCAUUUAUAAAUAUGGGUUUAAUUGAACUGAACUUAUGAUUCUCUAGUACACUGUUAGUUAUACUUUUAGAGAAAGUAAGCAUUCAAAAAAUCCAAUCUAUUUGAGGGUUAUAUUUUUUUAAACACGAUAAAUCUAAAAUGACUAGAUUAGAGGGAGAUCUAAUGAUAUUAAAUACUACAACGCUAUUAUGACCAUUGAUUAUUACUUCUAUAAGAAGGGUUUUGUGAGUAUUAUCUCCAAAAAAUAAUGGACGACCAUCUAUGUCUUCUACAUGAACAGGUUUAGUUUUCUUUAAUAAAUAUAUGUUAAAUCUUUUAGUAAAUUCUUCAUCUAAGAAACAUGCUGAGGCUCCUGAAUCUGACAAGGAAAAGGCUUUGUAAUAUUUAGGUCCUAAAAUAAUAUUUAAUGUAAAACAAGGAAAUGGCUCUGAGGAGAGAAUAAGACCUUUACUAGAUGUUGUACAAGGUUUCUGCCACAUGGUCUCUAUUGUAGCUGGAUAAACUCGUUUUGCGACAUAUUAUCUUCUUUGACAGCCAUAAUCUUCAUUUUAUAGUUGCAUCAUUUCUUUAGACAAUGUUGAGCAGUGUGUUUUGGUUCUCUACAAUAUAAACAUAAUCCUUCUUGACAACAACGAGUCUCUUCUUGUUUAGUAAGAGGUUUAAAACAUACUGCAUCAAUUUACAUAUCCUCUACUUUUGAAUGUAUGUGUUGAAGUGGUAUUGAUGUUGCCAUUGAAUUAUAGUAAUAUGAGGUUUACUUGUACGGUUCUCAGAUCGAAAUUCAAAAAGGUGAUUGUCGCACUUCACAACAAAGUCAAUUUCUUGACACAAUGUUUGAGGAUCAGAUAAGUUGAGCAUUAAUUUUUUCACCUCAUAUUGUAAUCUGUAGAAAAAUUGGCUAAUAAGUGCAGCAUCAUCUCACUUGAUAUCAGUUGUAAGUUGUCAAAAUUGUAAAGCAUACAACAUUACUGAUCACUUGUUUUAUCGUAAAAUACGGAUCUUAUUGGUUGCAAUGGGAAUUGCAUCAUGUUCUCCAUACACGGAUCGAAACUUCACCAAAAAAGCCUCUAGAAUAUCCAAUAUUGGAUCUUGUCGUUCAAAAAAACAAGAAAACCACAAUAGUGCUGAACCUAAAAGAAGUGUACCAAUGAAUCUAACUUGCGAUCCACGAGUUGGAUAGCUUUGAGAUUGAAGUUCAAUCACAAGUUACACUUCAUUGAUAAAUCCUCGAAACUUGGAUCUGGUGCCAUCAAACUUCUCGAAUAGGACAAUUAUUGGUUCUCUAAUAUUGGAAGGGCAUUCUUCCAUAGAAAAAAGGACAUGAUUUGGUGCAGAUGUUGAAGCAGCUCCAACCAUUUCUAUAUCUUUACUUCUUGCCAAUCUUGUUGUUCCUUGUGGUGGUAAAUUGAGUUGAUGAAUCGCAAGCAUUAAUUUCCUCAAUUGCUCUUGUAUUUGUGCCAUUUUACUCUUCAUUUUAAUAACUUCUGCCAUGAUAACACUUAGAAAAGAGAAGAUGUCUAAUAUCGCUCAAGAUAAAUAGAAGAGAGAACUUGAGAACAAAGAAAAUACUAAAGAAAAUAUGAGUUUAGAAGAGGGUAAUCCAUAACUUCUAAUAUGCUUAUAUCUUAUCAAGAAAAAGGAGUAAUCCACUCUUAAUAAAGAUUAGACAAAGCUUUGAUAUUGUAGGUGUAUUCUUAUCAAUUUGUCAAGGAUAAAAACUCGAUGAAAAAGCAAUUCAGAUAAGUCAACCUUCACUCAAAGAAAAGUUAACAAAAUAUAAAUAAACAAGUAUAUAUAUUGAAAGAGAAACUGGAAUGGCUAUUGCUAAAAGACAAAAAAACUAAAGACCCUUGAAACUAGGCUAGAAGCAAGAAAGGAGUUGACAAGAGUGAAGAAGGCUUCACUCUUGUACCUAUAUAUACUAUCUAACUAGGGACUACGUGGCAACGUUCUAUAGGACCUCGAAUAAGUGAUGACUUUGUAAGACACAUGCCUUGACUUACAAGGCAAGUUUUUCUACUUAAGGGCCAAAUUGUUAGCUUAGUCUUCAAGCUAACAACAUGUGUGGCACAUGGCCAACUUGUUGACCACGUAUCUAAUCCAAAAAAGUCAAUUAAAGACACCUAUGAAGUCAAAGCAGCGUCUAUGAAGCAUCUAGAAAGCUUUCAUAUUAAAUAUUAUAGAAUUAACUUAUUUUUAUUUAUUUUUACUUACUUCUACCUAUUAAUAUAUGUAAUUACUGGUUUACAUGAGUAUGUCCAUGACAUAACCAUUACUACGCACAUUUCAAUAGUUGAUCAGACUCCGAGGUGUUGAGGGUGCAAACAUUGCAUGUUUACAUUUUAUGAUGGAACCCGCAAGUAAUUUUACCAUCGCUGUGCCCUCUUAGAAACAAAACACAUUUGCUCCAACUAUGGUCAUGAUAUUUUUAGUUUGUUAAGUUGAAGAUUUUUCAAUAAAAAAAUUAUCUAUCUUGUAAGAUAGUAUAUGUUAUUGCAGAAUCAAUGAGCGCAUCAUUUGAUUCAUCAUUAGAGGUUCUAUCAUUCAUAUAAGCCUCUAAGUCAUCAACACCAAUUGAAUCUAUGGAUGCAUCUAUGGUAUAAACUUCACGAGCCUCAGCUCGUAAUUUCUUAUUUUCUUAAAAGAUUUUAAUAAAAUACUUUGAAGUACGGCACGCAUGUGCUAAAUGUCCAAUCAUUCCACACUUAUUGCAAGAACACAUCUCUGAUUUUGGUUUUCUAUUAUAAUUAAUAGUAGAACAUUUAUUCUUUCGAUAUGGAUAGAAAUGGUCUUGACUAUGACUACCCUGAUACUUAUGAGCAUGUUUUCCAUGUUUAUAUAAUUUCUUCUUAGACUUUGAAAUAUUAAGUGCAUGAGAUUUUGGAACUAUAGUUCCAAUAGGACGAGCUUUCGCAUUACGUAAGAGUAGCUCAUUUUGCUUCUCCAUAAGAAAUAGAUAAGACAUGAGAUCAGAAUGACUCUGAAAUUUCAUGUUCUUGUAUUGUUGUGCAAGCACAACACAUACAGGAGGAAAUGUAGAGAGAGUUUUCUCAAUCAUUUCUUCUUCAGAAAUGCUUUGUCCACAUAAUCAUAAUUAUGAGACAAUAUCAUAUGUUUCACUAUUGAAAGUAUUUAAAUUUGGAAAAUCCAAGACACAUAAAUGUCUCCAAUUAUAACAUGCACGUGGAAGAAAAAUAGUCUUUUGAUGAUCAAACCUAGAUUUAAGAUUCUUCUAAAGUUCUGCAAGAUCUUCCAUUUCUAAAUAUUGAUGUUGUAAUGCAGGUACAAGAUUACGACGAAGGAGAAGAAGUGCUUUCCAAUGAAUAGUAAGAGAUAUAGAAAUAUUUAUUGUAGGAGAUUCUUCAAAUAUAAUGACAUUUGAGAGUUGUUCUGCAAAUAAAUUUACUUUUGCCAUUUUUGCCCAUGAUAGAUAAUUGUUUCCAUCCACAAUCAAUAGUAGAAAUAAAAGAGCUUGAAAAUAUUGGAAUGCAUUAGUAAUAGUUGGAACCAUAGUAGAAGCAGUUAAACAUGUUGAAGCACUCAUUAUAAAUAAAUCUGUAAAGAAAAUACAAGAUCAAGUAGAAAAAUUGAGUAAAACAUACCUUAAAAUAUAAAGUCAAAUAAAAUGAUAAAUUUGAACUUUAAGAUAUAUAUAUAUAUAUAUAUAUAUAUAUAUAUAUAUAAAAUGAUAAACUUGAUUGUAGAUUAAGAGAGUAGAACAGCAAUAAGAUGGCAGCAGCAGGCAGCAAUAGAGCGACAGCGAUAGGACGGCUGGAUGGCAGCAGCGGGCAGCGGCAGGCAGCGGCGGGCAAUGACAAACAGCGACAGCGGCAGCGGCAUUAGGGCAGUGGUGGCAGCGGAAGUGGCAGCAGCGUUAGAGUGGCGAUGACUGCGCGCAAUGAUGUUAGCGGCGACAGGGUGGUAGCAAGGGCAGUGGCGGAUUCGACAAGAGCUUGGCGACUGUUUGGCGGCAGUUUGGCAACAAGCAUAGGACGUAGCAGGGAGGAGAGAGCAAGCUAGGGUGGAGUUGGACUAGAUCAAGUAUUCUAAGCAAGCAGGGCAAAGAGUGGAAUAAGUAUUCUAAGCAAAGAGCUAAUGUGUGAGAGUCCAGCAGGAAGAACAAGAUCAUGAGGCAGACACUGGGCAAGGGUAACAACAGGUUUGUAAAAUCAAAGACUACAGCAAAAAAAAUUUAAUAGUGUAUAGAAGAAAGUCAUGCUGAUAACGUGUUGAGAAGGUUUAGAAAGACACAAGAGUAAUAUUAAGUCAUACACACAUACAAGAGUAGUAGUAAGUCAUACACACAAGAGGGUUUCUAACGAGAGAAAGCUUGACACAUAAAAAUCUGUUGAUCUAGUUGUGUCUCGUAUACAAGAAGAAAAAAAAGAGAGAAGAUAAAUAGUACUUCUCCACUAGACUCUAAAUACUAUAAUUAUAGUAUUUAUUAUAUUCUAUAGUAAAUAUUAUAGAGAGCAUUGGCUAUAUUUAAAGCUCUCAACACUCAUGACAUCAUGUGGCUGGAAAAGGCAACUAAACCUAUUUUAGAAGGAUAAAUGUCACAUCUAUAUGACAUGUUGCAUUCUGCACAUAGAACUAGUGUCAAGAGUAUGUGUAUAAAUAUAUAUGUAUGCUCA
rnacentral:lncRNA from 1 species